rnacentral:rRNA from 1 species
GACGAACGCUGGCGGCAUGCCUAACACAUGCAAGUCGAACGGGACCGUCCGGUCUAGGGUCGACCGGGUGCGUAAGGCGUGGUAACCUGCCCGUAGGUUCCGCACAACUCCCCGAUAGGGGUGCUAAUAUCGGAUAAUGUCUUCGGACGUAAGAGUUAUCGAAUGUGGGUGGGGCCGCGUUGGAUUGGCUAGUUGGUAGGGUACAAGCAUACCAAGGCGUCGAUCCAUAGCUGGUCUGAGAGGAGGAUCAGCGACACUGGGACUGAGCCCCGGCCCAGACUCCUACGGGAGGCAGCAGAUGGUAAUAUAGGACAACGGGCGAGAGCCUGAUCCAGCAAGGCCGGGUGAGCGGUGAAGGCCUUGGGAUUCUAAAGCUCUUGUACCCGGGAUGUUAGUGACAGUACCGGGAGAAUAAGCUCCGGCUAACUACGUG